AAGUCGUAACAAGGUUUCCGUAGGUGAACCUGCGGAAGGAUCAUUAACAUAAGAAAGGAAUAAACGAAAGUUUAUUUUCAUUUUCAUCCGUGCACUUACGAUGUCAUUUGGCGAAUCGGUAGUGUGAAGGUCCCUUCUCGAAACAUAGAAAAGAUCGAUCCUAUCCUGUGGUGAUGGAAUUGGAAUUGCUAUUCUUCGGACUGCUUUUUCUCUUUCCGUCAUACCCGUGUAUUCGUCAGCAGUUUUUACCCUCUACUUCUUUUGUCUGACUACAAUCAUGUUCCCCUGAAAAGGAAUGAAAAUAAAAACAAUAAAACUAUGAACAACGGAUCUCUAGGCUCUU
rnacentral:misc_RNA from 1 species